GAAUAUUGGACAAUGGGCGAAAGCCUGAUCCAGCAAUGCCGCGUGUGUGAAGAAGGCCUUCGGGUUGUAAAGCACUUUAGGAUGGAAAGAAAAAACUUCAGUUAAUAGCUGGAGUCUUGACGGUACCAUCAGAAUAAGCCCCGGCUAACUCUGUGCCAGCCGCCGCGGUAAUACAGAGGGUGCAAGCGUUAAUCGGAUUUACUGGGCGUAAAGCGUGUGUAGGUGGUGGCGUAAGUCGGUUGUGAAAUCCCGGGGCUCAACCUCGGAACUGCUUCCGAUACUGCGUCACUAGAGUACGGUAGAGGGUGGUGGAAUUUCCGGUGUAGCGGUGAAAUGCGUAGAUAUCGGAAGGAACAUCAAUGGCGAAGGCAACCACCUGGGCCUGUACUGACACUGAGACACGAAAGCGUGGGGAUCAAACAGG
rnacentral:rRNA from 1 species